CCCUCGUGUACCUAAAUCUGUAAUUAAAUUUCUCGGCCCAUUUAGGGAGCCGAUACUUCGAGUGCGAUGAGAGCGAAGAAGACUACAGUUCUGAGGAGGAGUACGCCCCCCGCUUCGUCCCGCAGGUCGUGAACGCCCCGCAGCCGCUUGAUGAUGAAGUGGACGACGAUGAUGAGGUGUUCGUGGACACGGUGCCUGGAGACAACACCUCCACUGACAUGCUGAUCGAAGGCCGCGAAACACGCGAAGUCACAAUGAUGUCGGUGUCUUCAGACGAUUGCACCGAGACCGAUGGCAAUGACGCUCUGGAUCUUGAGGUAGCAGCUGGAACUCCUGUACUUCUAAACUACUUGCUGACACACCCCAUCACCUGCAAUAUACAGUAGCUACAACCUACUUUACGCUAGCGAUAACGUAAAAUCUGUGGCUGAAUAUUGAGCUGAAAGACCAUUAUUGUUGAACAUCCACCGUUCUGGUCCACCUGCAUCCAGCAGUACCUCAGGACAUCCAUUUGAGUGGUUGGUUGAUCUAGUGUGGGGCCGAUACCGCAUCUUGCAGCUUUUAGGCUUGGUUGGAAUAAUUUAUAGUUCAACCAAAGCCAUAAGAAAUUGAAGCUUAUUGAGCUAUUUGAGACUAAUUUGCUGGAGCUUCAGGGUUUUUGAACAUAAUCCGUCAGGGUGAGUUUCACCACCCUAUUAUAUUCCUACCGUACUGAACUUGGCUGUUUGAUUGUACACCGGGGUCACAUUUUAAGACAUUUACUUUUUUUUUGAUAAUUAUCCGAUAAUGAUCCCUGCUGAUCCAUAGUUUUAUUAACCGACUUCAAAAAGGGAGGUUCUAAGUUCGAUUUUUUUAUAUGUAUGUUAGGCGAUAACUCCGGAAUGUGAAUUUGUAAACCUAUUUAAUUAUUCCACCUCUAAGGGUGACUAACUAAGGGUGUAUCCUGUUUCGCGCACUUGCUGAUAACCAAUUUCUUUAAAACUGUGAAUUUUUGAGGUCAGUUAGUUUAAGUAUCUACUCUGUAGAUUAUUUUUUUUUUUUAAUUUUAUUGGCCACGACCUGUGCGGUUCGCGGACAACGUUGCUAUGUCUGUGCUAGACAACUCUCAUGUGUUAAAAGCACUUCACACAGACGAUCGCAUGUGGCUUAAUUAUAACCAAAGGUACGAUUUAUCCAUGAACUUUUGAAGUCGG